CUUCAAGGUGCUCAAGCAGGUCCACCCCGACAUCGGCAUCUCCAGCAAGGCCAUGAGCAUCAUGAACUCCUUCAUCAACGACAUCUUCGAGAAGCUCGCUCAGGAGGCCUCCCGCCUCGCCCGCUACAACAAGAAGCCCACCAUCACCUCCCGCGAGAUCCAGACCUCGGUCCGCCUCGUCCUCCCCGGCGAGCUCGCCAAGCACGCCGUCUCCGAGGGCACCAAGGCCGUCACCAAGUUCACCAGCUCCUAGGGAUCCGAUUGCGGUGAUCCUCUUGCUCUGAUUUGGUGUUUUAGUCGGUUCUCGAGGGUUCUGUUAGGGUUAGGUUGUUAGAUUUUACAGCGCUUGUUAACUUAGUUGAAUAAUUGAGGAGAUCGAUCAUAGCUUGUGUAAAUUGGCCGUGAGCAAUCAGUUGUCUUACUCUGCGAUUAUGAUACCCUAUUUCUUUGGUUGUUUUGCUCGAUACUGAUCUAAUGUACUGCUUGAGUAUUCUAUUCUGAUUUUCUUUGCACAUAUCUUGUGGUUCUAAUCGAGUUUGUGUAUUGAAUGGCUCUGGCAUCAAUUUCUGUUGUAUAAUUGUUGCAUAUAUAAUCCAAUGGGAUCGGUAAUUAGGUUAAGGUGUGGUAGUUUAGGUAGUUUAAUGGCUUCUAUUUCUCCAAGGUUGAUGCAGAGGGACUUUAGAUCAAUGAUAUUUGGAGCAGUAAGUUUAUUUACUUUUGUAGCUGUUUGGAUGCUCGUUUUGAUUUGCGAGGCCUUUGAAUUUUUUUUUCCUCUAGUUUCCUUUUGUGCUACUUGUUUUGUUUUUAUUUAAUUCGUCCUCAAAGAUAUCAGAGAUUUGUUCUGCUCCUAAUUCUUAUUGGUUUUGAAAGGUUGUCAUGUUUAACAGCUGUGGAAUUCUAGGGAGGCCAUUAUACUCUUUGGAACCAUUAAAAGAUGGUAAUUAGUUUUUACUUUGUGUCCCCAUCCUUUUAGUUGCUUUGCAUGCGAUCAAAUUCAAACUAUUCUUUUUCCUUGUUCAACUACUAAAUAGUGCUACUUUGCUGGUUCAGUUUGCUUGCCAGUGUUUUGAUUAAUUGCUGUUUUCUUUUUUAAUCUUAAGUAUUUUGGUUUAUUUAGCUGGAGUAAUAAGAGGCAGUAGAAUACAGAGACCCAAAGUGUUUGAUUUGGUGAAUCAUGCAUCUGAAGAUUGGGCAUUAAUAAUGGCCGUGGAUGGAAGGGUACGCAUCUUGAACUUAUUCUGAGAGACUGAUUAAACUGGCAUCUUCGCAUGGUGGACAACUAUGCUCAUACUAUUGGAUAAGGCCUGAUUGAUAGUGGUUGAUUCGUAUUCUCAUAUUUUUUUGUGUUUAUCCUUGAAAAGCUUGUAGCUAUCUUCUGAAUACAUGAUGAUUCUAUAUAUUGCGUUUAUCUAUAUGUGUACAUAUGUAUUGCAUAGAACCAAUGUAUUCCUUAUUUCUUCUUGUAAGAUGACAGAUUUGGGCCUAGAAAGUGGUCUAUUGCAGUUCUGAGAAUGACAUCGCAGAUUUCUUAGUGAAUCACUAGUUUACCUUAUAUUGGGCUUUUAUGAUUAGCAUUAAAACCACUUGAUACUCUAGUUUCAAAAAGCUUUUAUCACUAGAUGUAGCUAUUAUUAUUGUUCGAGAACUAAUAACAACAUAAGCAACUAAGGUAAGAAAUUAAUGGCAAAGCAAAGGCAGGCCAAGACCUUGAUUGUAAAAUAAACUUGGGUCGCAAAUCUAGGGAUGGAAAUAUCAGGUGGAAGUUGAAAGAAUAAGGUAUGAGCAGAAGAGUAAAAUGUUUGCAUCCUAUACUAUUGGAUUAUGAAUAAGUUAAUUUCUAUGCUUUUGGUGCUUGGGAAGGCCAAAUGUUCUGUUUCACCGGUAUUUGUAAAAUUUGUGAUUUCCAGUCAUCCUAACUGAAUUUGGGAUAGGAUUUUCUGAAAGAUCUCUAAACUUAGUGGUACAUCCUGGUGAAAUAAGAGUCCUAACGAUCACAAUUUUUAUUUUUUUUCCCAUCUCGCCUUGGAAGAAGGGUCUUCAUCCUUGACUAAGUAAUGUAAUUUUUUUUUUUUUAUUCUUGAAAGCUGGCAUUAGAUGGUUUCGCAGAGAAUAGAAAAAUAGAAUGGGAAUGAGGUAUUGGUUUUAAGUGUAGGGUUUAUGUCACUGAAAAGAGAUGAGCGGAUAAAGAAUAUGCUGUAAUAAUUCAUGAUCUUAGGCUAAUGAGGUUAUUUUCCAUUUAUCAGCUUAUCUCUUUUACACAACCCUUUUUCCUAUCAUUCAGAUGGGCAAUUAAAAUGUUUUAUGCUUUAAGUUCCAUUCUUAUAUUAAACAAAUUAAUUUGAACGGCUUACUAUGGAUGAAGUAUAUCAUAUUUAGCAAAUUAUUGUUAUUGUUGCUAUGUCAUGUCUUUUAGUUCAUUUUUCUCUGUAUGCUUGCAUCUGGCACUGAAGGUUGCUUCUGCUUCACUUGAAAACUGCAGUAGCUGUAGUGUAAUCCUCAUGUGAAUUUUGAUUAUUUUGUUCAAAUAUCUGGUAAAAGACUAAUUUAUCAAAUAUUGUGGGAUCUGCACAACAUAGCUCUAAACUUCAGGGUGUGCUUCAAAUGCUGCUGUUUAUUUGGGGGAUAAAUGCUUGUUCUUAUCAUAGUGAAAGCACAUUUGUCCCUCGUCUGGUGACUAAAUUAUAUACAGUUUGCUGUCAGUUGAUGUUACUGUUCAGCAAAAAGGAACCUUUAUGAAAUGCGACGUCUUGCGGUCUCGGUCUCUCGAGGACCAAAUACUUUCAAAAUGAAUAAUACUUUGGUGUGGUUGUGGUUUUGCAGAACAAAAUAUUGUGUAAAUUAGUGUUUAAAGAGAGGUUUUUGAAUCUUAAGCCUGAUAUGGAUGAUGUUAUGCGUGUUCCAUUUUCCUGUAAUAUGAAGAAGUGUGUUUUCAAAACAAAAUGCGUUAACAAGGCAGUACUUACGUUCCAUUUUCCUGUACAAUGUAGUCUGUUUUCAAAACAAAAUGUUUUAACAAGGCUCCAGUACUGCAAUUGAAUUUGGGGGACUAACCCAAAAAUGCUCGUCUCCAGCAAGUGAGUUUACCGUCGAUAUCAGGAGCUACAAGGCAGUGGCACUGUAUAGUGUUGGCCUCUCUCUAGAAUUAAACUUUGCAGCAUUUUGUUGGAAUUUACUUUUUACCCGGAUAUUACUGUUAGGAACGGUAGCAAAUGUAAAAUUUGUAGUAAUAUUUAGAUUAUUAUAAGUUUUGAUGUACUCAAAAAGUUUCAGCCAAAUAAAGCCACAGGCCUACGAUCUCACGAGCAGAAUUUUUUAGCUUAUGGGCUACCACUUUAAAAAAGAGGUGAACUAACUCUGUUUUACCCGAGGCCUCAAAAUGUUUUGUUAUGAGUCCGCUUAUCCUUUAUCCCACCGUUUGGUUAGGGAAUAGGGAUAGGAAUAGGCCCUUAUCCCCUCCUUUAUACCCAAACAUUAAUUUUUUAGCCGAGAAUAGUAGUUUUCGGUUAUCCCCACCAACAUCUCCAUUUUUUAUAUAAAACUUCCUAAUAUUUUUCUUAUCUCUGGAAACAACCCAAUUUUCAUCCAAACGCUAUUUUUCUUAUCCCCAUACUUGUACAUAUCCCUGUAAUAGCUAGUUCUUGCUUAUACCUGAACCAAACGGUACCUAUAUAUAUUAUUAUUAUAUAUGUAUAUAUAUAUAUAGAGAGAGAGAGAGAGAGAGAGAGAGAGAGAGAAAUGUGUACUUCAGAGUUUUUUCUCCAUGAUGUGGUGUCUAUCUGCUUCUCCACAACCAUGCAAAUAUAUAUUAGUUAUUCUUUGCUUAUAUCUUUUUUUACACAACCAUGAUUUUUAGCUGACGACCAUCGCCGCUGUGUGGUGGGCUAUUUGGUUGGAACGCAAUAGAAGAGUAUUUAAAAAAUCUAAAAACGCGCUGAGUACAAUUUUGAUAGAAACCCGUUUUAUGAGAAAUUUUUGGGACCGCUUUUGCUUCUAGGUUUUUUUUUGUUUAAUCGUGAGGUCCAAAUUGUCUCAAUUUGUAGCUAAGUUCAUCUUCUAAAUGAAUAAAACAAUAAUAUGCUAUUUUUUUCUUAAAAAAAAAAAAAAAAGUAGGUUGAACUUGGAAGCUCUCCUGACUCAUACAUCCUAAUAAUGUUCCACGUAAGUGGAAGGGUCGGGAUUUUUGUUUAUAUAUAUAUAUAUAUAUAUAUACAUAGAGUUGAUCUAGGAUAUUUUUACAAGUAUCAUUUCUAUGUUGCUAUCACAUUUUUAGUCAUUGAAUUUACUUUUUGAUUACAAAUAGCCCUUGGAUCAAACACUAUUCCACCUACCACCACCUAUCCCCAUCAUCUCAACCUCACAUCUCUCCAUCCAAGGACUAAAAACACACAAGUAUCACUUGGAUGAUACUUUUAAAAGUAUUCUAGCCCUACUAUAUAUAUAUAUAUAUAUAUAUAUAUAUAUAUACUUUUUGUAUAAGUUGUAAAACCGAUGAGCUUGAAGACCAAUCAUAUAUCUCAUUACCCUUUUCUUUUUAAUUAGGUUUAGAGAACCAUUCUGUGCAUCUUACAUUAGUUUCGGAGUUCUAAUAUUUUACCUUUCUUUUUCCUUUGCAUACAAUAGUACUUAAUUUAUUGUCUUAAAAUGAUAUAAUGUAUUCAAACUCUAUUCAUUAAUAAAAAAAAGUCUACAAGCUUUUACAACAAAUAGUAGUAAUAAUAAUAAUAAUAAUAAUUCAUUAAUAAUAAAAUAUCUACAAGCUUUUACCACAAAUAGUAAUAAUAAUAAUAAUAAGCUCGAAAAGUAAAUAUAAGUUCUUAAAUCAUCCAACCUUCUACGUCACUUCAACAAUCUAUCUCAGCAUAACCCGCCCUCUAUUUUAAAACCCUCUCGAAUUUACUAUUUGUGUACCCCACCUAAUAUAUAAUUAUUUUGAAAAGGAAAAAAGAAGCCCGCCACUCCGCAAAAUUCAAACCAUGCUCGAACACAGUCCCAUUUUUAAACAUGAAAUAAUGAAAGCAGGCGAAGCAGCAAACACACGGAAACAAUCCACAGAACUCGAACAAAAGAUCCCACCAAAUAAUGAAAGCAGUAGUAAUUUUCAUAAGAUAGAAGAAAAAACUUUUACACCAUGUAACUCCUCCACCAAAAGAUCCCACAAACUAAACCACGUGCUACACACGCAAGCAAGCAAAAAAUCCAAACUCUUAUUAAAGAGUUUGGGGAUUAAGGCUUCUUGGGAGACUUGGUAGAAGCGGGCUUGGACGGGGACUUGGGCUCCUUGGCGGCCUUGUCGGUCUUCUUGGGGAGCAGCACGGGGUUGAUGUUGGGAAGCACGCCUCCGUGCGCGAUCGUCACCCCGGCCAGCAGCUUCCCCAGCUCCUCGUCGUUCCGGAUCGCCAGCAGCACGUGCCGCGGUAUGAUCCGGUUCUUCUUGUUGUCCCGCGCCGCAUUCCCGGCCAACUCCAAAACCUAUGAUAAUAAUCAAAACUAGUUAGAUGAUCGAGAAGAGAAGAGCUGUUGUUGUUGUUGUUGCUGCUGUUGCUGUUGUUGUUGUUGUUGUUGUUGUUGUUGUGGGAAGGGGGAAGGGGGAAGGGGAAAGGUAAACUAGUACCUCGGCGGCGAGGUAUUCGAGGACGGCGGCGAGGUAGACGGGGGCGCCGGUGCCGACGCGCUGGGCGUAGCGGCCCUUCUUGAGGUAGCGGCCGAUGCGACCCACGGGGAACUGCAGCCCCGCCUUCACCGACCGCGACACCGCCUUCUUCCUCGGCCCUCCUCCGCCGCCCCUCCGACCGCCCUUCUUCACCUUCCCGCCGCCGCCGCCGCCCCCCUCCAUUGUCGCCUCUUCUUCUCCCUCUUAACCCACAAUACUACGAUCCCUCCUCCUCCUCCUCUUUCGAUCCCUCGAUCUCUCUCGCUCGCUCGCUCGAUCCCUCGAUGCGGGGGGGUGUUAGGAGGGGGUGGGAUUUUGGAGUGGGAGGGAAGGGGUGGGGGCGAAAUGGGUUUUAUCGACGGUUCGGAGCGGGCGACGGUGGAGGUUUGUGAUCCGUGGGUGGAGUGAUUUGUACCGUUGGUUAUAGUAGUUGAUUGACGGCUGAGGAUUAGUUGGGAGGCGCGAUCCGUGGGACAGGAGGAUGGACCAAUGAGGAAGGAGUACUUAGGCGCGAUGCGCUGGGCUUGCGUAAAAGUAUCUGGGCGGGAAUGAGAGAAGCCCUACCUAUUCGGCCCGGCCGGCUGACGUGGCUUGUUAUUAAUCGAGGAAUGCUAGAUAUUCAUCGAUUAAUCUGUAUAUAUAUAUUAAAAAAAAAUACAAAUCAAUGCACCAAUAGUUUAAUUAUAUAUAAUUGCCAAGAGUUUAAUUAUAUAUUUGGGCCGAUGACUAGAGAUGUCAACGGGUCGGAUUUGAGUCGGAUUUUUAAGAACCCGAACUCAAAAACCAAAUUAAAACUCGUAUCCGGACCCGAAUCCGGCAAGUUUUAAAAACUCAUAUUCAUAUCCGUAUCCGACCAAAAACCCGAAACCCGAAUCCGGCGGGUUUUAAAAAUCCAUACCGUUGAAUGAAGAUCUAAAUGAUAAAAAUUAUUAAAUAUUUUAUAUAUUAUAUAAAUAAAUAAAAAUAAAUUUAUGUAUAUAUAUAAUUUAUUUGGGUUCGGGUCGGAUAAAUACAAAAUUCAUACCCCUAUCCAUAUCUGUCUGGUUUUUAUUUUCUAUACCUAUAACCGAAUCCAUACCCGUUUAACUCAGAUAAACUCGCCUCGUUCAGAUUCGGAUAAUAUUUCGGGUAUCCAUACCCAUUGACAUCCCUAGCGAUGACUAACUGUAAAUUGCACUAUUAUAGUUUCUAGACUUUUUGUCAGAUUUUUUUUCUUUUAAAUUCAACAUUUGAUUUUUUUUUUCUUUUUUAUCUAGUCCUUGUGUUUUAGACAGAUUAUUGCGUACAUCUCUAAAUAUAUUUGUAUGUUUAGGUAUGAGGAAUAUUAAAGUUUCAUCAUCUCGUACUUUGAAUAGAUGUAAAUAUUUUGGAUUUUUAGCUUGUGUAUCUCUUUCCACGUAUAUGUGUUCUUAAAUAUAUCUCCAAUACUCGUAAGCAUAUUAAGAAUUUUAAAACAAAACAAUGACGAAAUGCUUUAUAAUGAACUGGUAGAGUUAUUUAUAUUAUCUCAUUAGAAUACAAAAUCGCCAGCAAGGUAACCAAGAUAAAGAGAAGCGGGAAUUAAUAAAAGUAAUUGUUGCACACAAAAGUUGGUACAAGAUUAAUGUGCUUACAAUAACACCCCAGUUGUUCAAGUGCUUAGUAUUGCAAUGAAAUAUGCUAAAGCCCAAAGCAAUAAAAGAAAAUUAUGGAAAGCUAGCAAUGCCAACAGAAUUGAUAGUUUCAUUUAUCGAUCCAUUCCACCUCUUUCCAAGGAUUUCAGAUUUGUGCGGGUUUGCCUACUACUAGACAUUAUAGAUUAUUAAGGCAAACUAUAUAAAUUAGUUGGAAUUCGAACACUUCCCCGCUACACUGCAAGAUGCUGGUGAGAUAUCUUCCGCCGCACUCUCCACCCUUUUUAACACAAAGAAAAGAGAUAUUCACCGAUCAUGAACCUCACCUCACGUCGUGUAUUCUGCAUUUAUUUUCACAUAAUCAUAACUUAGAUCGCAGCCCCACGCCUGUCCAUUUCCUGGCCCAUCUCCUGUUAUGCCAAAUAUUGAAGUCAGGUUAAGCACCAGCGAAUUAAAUGGGAAAAGUAAGAAAUGCACAAGCAAUUUGAUAAGCAGAAGAAGAAACAUGGCACUGAGAUCAGUUCUUAGCCUUUAAUUAGCUUUAUUCCAGUAAACAUUCUAAACCGGACCGUUUGACCAUCACAACUGGUCCAGAGUCAUCUGAUUCCUGAGUGAAUAGACCAGUUUAAGGGCUAUAAUCUUAGAGUUUGGGAUUAAUUAAAUCCUAAAAAAUGGAAGUCGUUGUGGCAACUUCAAAUUAUAAUCCCUUUUAUAUCAAUAGUCUUAUUUCUUUCGAGUUUCGAGUAAUAUUGUAUUUGAUUACGCCAGGUCUAUUUUCUUAAAAUUAGGUUCAACAGAAAGAGCGGACCAACAGCUGAAGCAAUAGAAAUCUGCUAAGUGUUUUUGCAGUUCAACAGCUGCAAGAGGACUCACCAACUGAUAUAUGGAUUUCAACAGUUCCAUGCGCCUCUCCAGCCAUUCUGAGAUAGCUACUUGCUGCAGACCUGGGAGAAACGAUUAAAAGAGAAUUAAAUAAAUAUAAAUAAACAAAGUGCAAGGCUAUUCUCAGUAAUGUGAGAAACAUAAUCUGAAACAAAAGCAGUCGGGAAGUUUUUUUUCCCCUUUUAAUAUAGUAUGGAAAAGAUAGUUGUGCUUUUAAUGUUGUCAUGCAUUGAGUUGCUGACGAGUAUUAUCAUCAUGAAAAGAAGGGGGAAAAACAAACAUUAGUUUGAAAAAAUAAAAUUUGGACUUCUUUAUGACCUGUCAAAGGCAAGUGGUUGGCCGUUUUUCAUAAGUUGGAUGCUUCCAAGUGAUAUGUCGAGCUUCUUCGCAUCAAAAUGAAUUCCAGCAUAUCCAGCAGCGCAAGCGAUACGUCCCCAGUUCGGGUCUCUACCAUAUAUAGCAGCCUGAUAUAUUUAUUGAACAUUGUCAUCACCAGUUUUCUCCAUUCUAGAAUCAUGAAUCAGAUUUAGUAAGAUUACAAGAUACCAUACUUUCACAAGCGAAGAAGAUGCUACUGUACGAGCAAUUUUAGCUGCGUCAGCCUCGUUACCAGUGCCAGUGACAGUAACCUACAUAACCAAAAUACUGGCCAUUUAUGAAAACCACUUUUCUAUGCUUUAUAUUACUAAUAUAUAAAAUGCUAAAAUGUUGCAAUAAAAGAGAAUUAGACACCCGUUGCAUGUAAUAGACUUCAGAAGUCUACCUAAUAGAAAUCAUACAAAAUUAUAAACCGCGCGAAACGAAUUACACUACCGAACCUCUAUCAAGCACGUUGCACCUUCACCAUCCCAUGCUAUGGACUUUGCAAGACCUUGCAUUACCUGGAGAAGAAAUAAAAGUUCAAUAUUUCUUCAUGAUGUUUGGUGCGUAACUGCAACUGAUUUUUAACUUUAGCCUAACAAAUUCAGCUUUCAACAUGCAAAGUGAGCCUGCUAUGCUACAUUACUGUCAUUCGUGUGACACAAUAAGAGCUUUUUAUUAUAUAGCAAUAGCAACAAUUAAUGAAACUUACUACAUCCAAGCAAGCUUGAAGCUGAAGAGCUUCAUUGCUGUGAAGAUCAGAUAUACCGGACGAUCCAGAUAUUCCACUAGCCAAGGCAAUGACACAAUCAUUGGUACUUGUAUCUCCAUCUACCUUUAAGAAUGAGAUCAGCAAGGUAAGUAAGGUCUCUGUUAAGACUUACUCAUGGAGUGUGAUUAAUUGUAAACCAACAUAGUGCUUGAUAUCCCAAAUGCAGCAUGUUAUACGAUCCCUCUCUAUCACAAUUACCUUGCAAGAUGCCCCCCACCAACCAUCAGCAGAUAAGAAUCUCUACUACUAAAUUCAAGGAAAUGCACAUGUAGCAUCCUAAUCCAGGUUUUUUCAUUGUCUUGAUAAAAGAAUCUACUCUCAAUUUAUUUACACAACAUCUGUCCUUUGUUGGGCUAAUUUCCAACAUUAACCUCAAAAACACCAAAUUGUUCAUGAACAUGCCUCAAAAACGGGCCAUCAUGGAUACCACUUGUAAUUUGUAAAGGUACAUAAAUACUCAAAACUGACCAAUUCCUUGGGCGUUCACAAAAGUACAUCUGCAUUUCCAGGGGGUGCUCAUGAUAUUUUUAAGCUCAUUUUUAGUAUUUUGAUAUAUCUACAAGGGCAUUAAUGACAUUGUCAAUGUUGGGAGGCAAGGCAACAUAUGAAGUUGUAUAUAUAUGGAGGGAAACACAUUUUAUUUUUCCUCCAGGCGACAUAGUGCUAUGAGAACCAACAUAGUAUGGAUAUAAUACUUGAUAUAAAAUAAUUAUUUUCUUAAUGCUACAGCAAAAAAAAAAUCCUGAAUGAUGGGACUUGGAAGGCAGUGCAUUAAGCCUAAUAACAGUUCUAGAGAACAUCAUUACGUACUGUAAUCUGGUUGAAACUUCUGUUCACUGAUGUCCGAACCAUUUCUCUCCAGAUUUUGCUAGUAACCAGGGCAUCAGUUGUUACAACCUAAAGAUUAGCCAGUAAACAUUAGCUAACUAAAAAAAUGAAUAAACAUUACACACAUGCAGAGAGAGGGGGGGGNGUGUGUGGAGCAUACUCCUAGGAGGGUUGCCAUAUUUGGAUGAAUCAUUCCAGAACCUUUUGCCAUUCCCCCUAUUCUAACAGAAACACCACCUACCUUUUUCCAACCAAAGAAUACAGUAAUUAGAAAGAAAAUCAAGUUGAAUUGAAGUAUGAAUCAAUAGAACUUCAGUACUAAUGAUCUCAUAUUUAGUGAUGAAAAGAACUUAUAAAUCAGACCUGAGUCUCAACAGCAACACUCUUGCUAACAAGGUCGGUGGUAGUAAUGGCCACAGCUGCAGAAUCUGCACUGCAAAUCCAAAGAUGAGAAUAUGAGCUAAAAUAUUUCACAUACGAGGAGAUUCGGAUUUCUGAAAAAUAAAAAUUCACGAAUGGUGCAUGAGAGUCAAGAGAACUCAUCCUUCACUGGACCAUAAUUCUCGAGUUUGGUUAUAUAUAAUUCCUUUUUCAGAUCUAAAAGGGUCAAGUUGUAUAAUUAAGCAAUUUUAUAUCUGAUUAAGGUGUUCAGGGAUUUUAAAUUAAACCUAACAGGUACACAUUUUCAAAUUUUAUGGAAGACUAUAAUGUAGUUAGCGAGGAGACUUUUCUGAUUAGAAAACAGCUUUAAUACCACUAUAAUUCGGGGGCGUUCAUUUACCUGAAUACGAAUGUACAUACUCCAGGAAGCUAGUUACUGCAAAUAACGUGAAUAGUUGGAACAAACAAGUGGGAUUCAUUGAACAAACGGAAGGCUCAACAACUUCACACAAAUAAUGUCUAGCAUUUAUUGUCACGAUUUUCACCGCAGUAUAUAUGAUGAUCUUAGCUAUUUCCUGUCUGCAUCUCAUAUUGUUUUCCAAAGUUCGCAUAUUAGCCACAUUUCAUAAUAUUUCCAAGACCAUUGCUUAUAUUUGAUAGAGUAAGUUGUGUAACUUGCAAAAUGAUACUGACCCAUAUAGGGACAACUGUACAGCAGUUGAUAAGAAAGUGCAGCAUAUGCACAACCAAUUUAUAAAAUUUAAGACGGUUCAAAUUGCAUUCUAUAGCAUCUAAUGAAGAUAACAUAAUGAUAAAACUAUACCUCUGAACGUUUGAUGAUAGCGAACCAACAAGUCUUGGAAGCGAAUUAAGAAGAGCCUCCUAUAUAGAUUUUACCAAAUAUAAACGUAAACAAGCUAUUUUAAAAAAGCAGAUUUCAGCGAGAGAAAAAGUAAAAUAUUUGCAUUAUAUAGGAAAUGGUGAUAAAUAAUUUGUUUUUAGAUUGACAUAUAAUCUUCAGCUUCACAAAAGAUACUAGAGAAUGUUUUUGUACCUUUUUUAUUCUUUGUCCAAUAACACCAGUUGAUUCAAUCAAUACAGCAUUUGGAUUCACCUUGAGAAGCUGUGAGAAUAACAACGAAACAUAUUGCCAUGAUCAACCAAAAUGUUUGCACGCGCACGCGCACACACAGAGAGAGAGAGAGAGUUUACAAACUAGAACCUGGGCAACUGCAUUUGCACUUUCUACUGCAUCCUGGUAACCAGCAUCACCCUGCAAUACAACAAUGCUUUAGCCACAACAACUAAUUCUCUCUCAACAUUACAAUCAUAUUUAUCGUCUUGCACUUAUAUUAGAUCUGCUCUUGGAAUCUUAGAAGGUGUCACGCGCACUUACUGUAGCAGCAUUUGCUUGACCAGCAUUAACUAGUACCGCACGAGCCUGAAAAAAUUACAAACUCGCAUAUUAACAGAGUUAUUCUAAUGAAUGCAAACUAAUAAAUGCAACAUCAAUUUAACUAUACAGGUAGAACUACCUACCGUAGUUGAUAAUCCAAGCACAUUUUUGCAGUACUGAACUGGAGCAGCAGCAACAAUAUUUGUAGUAAAAGCACCUGAAAAUAAAAUAAUCUUCCAUAAUCAAGAUUUUUCACCACAUAACAAAGAUAAUGCAGUAUAAUUUACAAGAGACUGAUGUAGACAACAAUGUUUUAGAAUCUAGAUAUUAAUCUAUCAAGUAAGAAGAAAACAUACGCAUAAAUAGGAAAUUUUGGUUUUUAUCUCAUACUCAUGAACAUCUUAAUAAUAAAUACACUUUCGAGCAAAAUGUAUGUAUAGUCCCUUUCUAUAGGGAUUGUGAUUAGAUCAAACUUUCAAAAAUGUUGCAACUUGCAACACCAUCCCUCACCAUCAAAAAAACAAUCUUUUACUUUUCUUCUUUUUUUCUAUGUAAUACAACCCGUUUAACAGAUCCUUCUAUAAAAAGAUGUUCUUGUUUAAUUGUUUGAAACAAGGUUAAAAAUCUCAUUUUACAGCAAAUGUCAAUGGACAUCAUUUUUCUUUUUUCAACGAAGGGGAUGGAAUAGUAGAAUGUAAGAAAGCAAACUCAAUAAUGUGUGGACAGGAAAGUUCAGGGUCUAAAAGCCACAAUAUCAGGGAGAACAUUCGCAUUACUCCCUCUCUCUUUCUUUUUUUUUUCUUUUCCAAUUUGAGGUCCUUGCCUGCAGAAAUUGCAUCAGUGUCGCAAGUCACUAGAGCCAGAUCAGGUUUCUCUCCCACUGCCCGCAGACCACCAUAUAUUCCGGCAGCUUUAAAUCCUUUUGCGGCCGUAACACCACCUGGUAUCUACAACAAAUAUAACCAGCAAUAGAAAAAGCUAGAAAUAAAGCAUGGGAUCUAAAAUGCACAGUACUAAUAGAGCAAUGAAAGUCAUGGACAUCAGUUCAACACUAACCAAAUUACUGACUUAUUUGCACUACGCAUUGAGAGCCUUUUCGUGAAAAUAUAUGCCUCGAAAGGCAAAAUUAUCUGUAUGAGCCCUAAAUUUGAAGUUCAAAAAAAGUAACUAUCUACUGCUGCGCUUUACUGCAGAACAAUAAUCUAGCAUCAAUUCACGCCUCCGUCUGACACGAGAGAACAAUAAACUUUGAGUAACCACUCCUGUACUAAAAAGUAGAACAUUUGUGUAACAUUCGAUGGCACAGCCACUAGUAAUCAAUCUACGGGAACCAAAUUAACCAUCAACUAACCUAUAUUUCUCGAAUCUCGAGCUAAGGCAUCAAAAAAAGACAUUUUUAAUGGAGAAAGUAGCUUACCUGCUUCCACGGUCCCUCAGGGAGAAGGAUUGGAGCCGCGGAGAUGUAAGCGUAGGCCGUCUCCGUUUCAGAGCUCAUCGCGGCAGAGACCCUGCUUCGGCGCCGAGAAUGUAGGCGAGAAUCCCAUCUCUAAAACAAGGAAUUGAACACCAGUUAGGGCGAAUCAAAGCACAACAAAGAGGAAGAUCGCGAUGAUGAUGAUGAUGCUGGAGACGAAGAGAAUCAAAUUAGGGUACAGUACAAUGCUUUCACCAACCUCCGCCCUACGUAGCUCGAGAACUCCUCGAGCGGAGAGAGGAGGGUGAUUAAGAAGCAGAGCCAUCGAAGCAAGGAUCGAAGGAGAAAGAUGUAGCUCGUCUCUUCACCCUUCUCGUUCGCUUCUCCUCCUUUUUCUCUUUGAUUCUUGUAGCGGCGGCGGAGUGUGUACCGGGGAAACGAACCAGUUCAACGGCGGAGUGAAACAAGAUGAGUAAAUCUACACUAUUUUGAUCCAGGAUUCAUAUUGAAAUACUGUACUGUAAUUUUUUUUUUUUCACUAGAAACUUUUAAAAUUUUAAACUCUCGGAUGAAAGUGUAAAUCAUACACCCUCUCCUAGUCUCCUGGGGAAUAUAAGUUUUUUUUGGUUUAAAACUAAAAGUGUAAUUGCUUAUUAAUAUAAAUUUUAUUGAUUUAGAUGAUAUUAAAGAUAUAAUAAUUUUACACAAAUUCUACUAAAGAUAUUUCUGAAAUUUUGAGAGGUAUAUUGACAAUUAUCUCAAAAAGAAAACAUAUGAACACAUUUUAUUUCUACAUCAGCUCCAGAAGGGCCAAAUAAGCAUCAAAAGAAAUAUUUCUGUAUAAGCACCAAGGAGGCUAAACAAGCACCAAAUCUAUAGGUCCGAUCACAAUUCGCAAAUGCACAAUACAGUCUUUCUUUUUGUUCCCUCAAACAUAAUCUCUUGCAAUUUGUAAAUCCCGUCUUUAGGUAAGUAUACUAAGACUAAGCCACUAUGCUAAUUUGCAGUAGUCAACAGUACUCUCAUCAAAUCUCAGUCACCUCAACCAUGCGUAAAACUAUCGUAUAGGCAUGCACUUGUUUGAAUUGUGACGAAAUGAACUGAGGCAAAAUGUUGUCGCGUCGUGUUCUCCAAUAGACCAAGCAGAUGCAUCUUUGCAUCCGCAAAACAUUCAUCUAGUUCAAUGUUCAGUAGUAAUGAAAAGCUAAAACAAUAGCAUCUCAGCUUCUUGCUGCAGAGGAAUUAGGAAUUGCCUUCUUCAGGACGGUUGUCUCCUUGAAAUUCAGAAGGGGGUGCUCCCUAAACAUCCUCAGCUGUUUAAACAGAAAGUCUUAUCAACAGCAAUCAAAUGGAAAUGCCAAAGUAGAAUACUAAAGAGAACCAGGUUCUGCAAUCCAAAACAAAGAGAAGUAUCUGCUGGAUUCCUACCUCCUCAUGUGUCACUUUUACAAAGCCAAACUUAUUAAUCCACAUGGAUUGUGUGUGCUCAUCAACAGAAGUUAUGAGAAGUUUCACUUGCAAGUCACUUAGGAAUCUUUCAAUUACCGAAAGAAGAGUCUGAAAAUAUCCCUGCAAAAGGGGGAAAAGAAAAAUGAGGUUAAAUGUGAGUAAUUUUUUUUGGCAAGGUUCAAAUAUAGUCUGAUGCAUGUAUAAACUUCCUAUAUAGCUUCUCGACAUUAUAAAGGGCUUGCGUAUCAAAAAAAUUUUAAAAAAAUUGACAGCUACUACGAAUCAGUACAAAGUUUCUCCAAUUUCAUGGGGCAAGGAGAAAAAUCGAGUGUUUGCUUGUAGACAUUGUAGUACUUUAAAAAUAACGAAAAAUGUUAUACUUGGAAACAAAUUUUGCAACAUUUUACGAUUGAAAUAACUCAUUAAGUUGUAGAGCUUAUAAAAUAUCGUAAGAUAUGUUCGUAAGCAAAGCAUUUCCUAAAUAUGAAUGUUGAAUAAGAAGUUAUGUUAAUUCAUGCAAGACGAAAGUACCCCUCCUGGUCAAGAAAGCUCUGAGAAACUUUGUUUUGUUUUAUUAAAAGAUCCACACAAUCUAACAAUGUUUUGGACUCUUCUAGUUUAUAUUAUAUUCAAAAAAGUAUCCUUAAAUUUGACAUUCAAUCCAUUAAGGCACCAAAGUAAACGUAGAAUUCCGGCAAACAUAGUUGAACUGUUUUGCAGUUCUCAUACUCUUAACAUGUAAUAGGAUGAAAAUGGAAUAUUUCUAAAUGCAUCAAUAGUCACUGUACCAUCCUGAUACUGCAACUCAGUGCCUGCAAUCUCAAACAUUUUCACAUGCAAAAUUUCUCCUAUGUUGGAAUCCCAUCCUUGGUUGUCAAAAAAUCUGCCACUCGACAUGACUAUUUCAUAUAGAGAAACUAUUUAAACUUUGAAGUGUAUUUAUUUUGUAGAUGAGGUAAAAUGCUCAUUCUGUAAGAUUUUUUUUUUUUUCUCUGCUUGACAGCUAGAAAUGAAUUGCAUUAUGUGAGGGAGUUUAGGGAUUAUAUGUGUCCAAGUGAAAGUUCAGGAAUGAAGAUUUGACAAAAUCAAAGGAAUCUAAAAUGCUUCCGUACCUUUCCCUGACAUUCUUUACGUGUAACAACCAGAGGAAGCUCUGCAGUACCUCGUCCAUGCACCCUCAGAAUUGCUGCUGACAUGAUGACUGACCUGCAUUGACCACAAAUAAGCCGUGAGGAUACUCACACAUAAUUACAGCUAAAUCACAAGUUUCUCUCAUAAUUUGUUUGGGCCAAUAAUAAUGGAGAAAAGAUUAUGACCAAUGCCCUUCCCUACACAUAGUUUUUUUGAACCAUUGAAAAGGCCAAUAUUAUGAUGUGUACAACUAUAUCAAAAUCAUAAGAUAGAUGCAAUUAUUGCGACGGUUCAUUACUUUUCUAUUAGUACUGCACAACAAGUUGAGUGGAAUAUUAACCCUGCCUCUCCCGCCUCUUUACUGCAAAAAAAAAAAUAAAAGUUUAAAUUCAUCUGAUCCAUGACAGGAAAAAUGUGAGGAGAGAUGCAGCUAAAAUAGUACUAUUAAAAUCACUACGAAGGAAGGAAAAGAAUCAAGAGUUUACGCAUAAACCAUCUGCUUUAUCAACUCGUUUGAUCCUACAUAUAUAGGUUCAAAUGCACCCUGCAAACAUACGGCAAAGAAAAUUGUGAAUUCUUGAUGAAAAUGCUAUUUAAUAGGCCAUCUUGAUGAGAUUGAGGGUGAAGUUGCAAAAUAUAUAACUAAACAUUUAAAGCUUAGAGACCUCAUUAAAAACUAUGCAUGCAGAAUCCAGGCUUUACCAAAACGUGACAAAACCAUACUUAUCCAACAAGAGAAGGGCAAAGGAAAACAGUAUACUUACUUGAAAAAGCUUAUUGGCUGCUUUAAGCAGGCUCUUAUCUUUAGUAUGUUUUCCAUUUAAAAGUUGCCAGCGUACAGCAGCUACAGUGUCAUUUUGCAAACCUCUCUGUUCAAAAUUCCUCUUCAAUAUGCUAGAGGAACAAUCAGGAAGAACCUUCUUUCCUUCAGUAGGCAUUUUUUCCAAAGCAACACAAACUGCGCUGCAGCCUCUACAACAAAACCAUUUGCUGCUGAUGGCUUCCUGUAAGGAAAAAUGAAUGAUGCACAUGAAUUUAUGCUAUCUUCAAAAUUUUAUUUUAUAGCUAUGUUCAAAUGUUAUCCACUAAAACAAAUAUAAGUAGUAGUUUACUAUCACCUUAAAUUUCAAUCCCGGAUGACUUCGGGCAUAACAACCAACAUGAUAUGCUUUUCCACACUAAAGAGGUAUUAAAAGAAGGGAAAAUUAAUGAUAAGUUCCAAUAAAAAGAAAAAAAAAAAUCGCUCAAAAAGCACCACCAAAAAAGGGAACAAGGAGAAAAACUUGCUAAGCCAUCUUACUUGUUUACAGAAAGUGAUGCUUCUUCCAUCAUAUUCUGUUUGUAAAAUGGCUUUGUCAUCCCUAUAAGAUAUAUGGACACAAAGGCAUUACAGGAGGAUAAGUUUUACAAAUUCUAUACCAGCAACUAUGUGAAUAAAUUAAAGAAGCCUACUUGCAGAUUGUGCAGUGAAUGUCAUCUUCCGCUUCAGGAUGAAUAGUGCGCCUUAACCGAAGGUUAGUUGGCCUUACAGCAUUUGAAGAGGAAAUGCUCAAAGCUCUUUGAGACUGAUCAAAGCAAUCAGGGCAACAGUGUGGACCAUUAGGAGCAUCUUUUAACCACAUACCAGCUGCAAUACAAUUGCAGUAGACAAGUCAAAGUGAGUAUUAGUUCACCACUAGGAGCAUCUAUAUGUUCAGAUACCUAUUUCAAAAUGCACAACAGUUCAGCAAAGGUCAGUAGUUCAGUACGUUGUUGUCAAAACUAGAUUAAGCUAUUGGUGACAAUUGCUACAGGUUACACAGCAGAUCAGAAGUAGAAGUCCGAUCUCAAAAAUAUGCACCUGAAGGAAAAUGUUGAUGGCAUCCAUCACAAUAAACCAGUUCUCCUCCAUCACUGCAGCUAAGGCAUGGAUCCUCGCUGCCAACACUUACUUUUGUAUUUUUGGAUAGAAUCUCGCAAAACUCAUGUAGUGUCGUCCCAUCAGAAGUAUAUAUGUUUUGAUAGCUGCAAGGUAACAAAGCUUUUGUUGGAAUGAAAAACGCUUCAUCUAGCCCCCAAAACAACCAAAAAGGGAAAAAGAAAAAAGAAGAAAAAAGCAGAGUAUUAAUAUUUAAGAGUAACAAUAAGCAGUAAGAAGUGACACUGACGGUUGGCGCCUUCGACCCAUCCCUGCAUGAGCUUCAAACUGUGAAGGGCUAAACUGUUCACAAGAGAACAUAUUCAGAUAGUAGUCUUGGCACAGACAUGCAAACACAUGAGAAUAUUCAGAUAAGGGACUUUACCUCCUCUUUGUGGCAGUGACAUACUAUGCUAUUUCCUUGUUUAUAACCUGAGAGCAAAAUCUGUAGGAAGAAAAGAAAAAGGAAGUGUGAAACAGAUUUAAGAAUGUGGCACAAUAAGAAACCAAUCACUAAAAGAAGUGUAAUUGUGCCCGGAACCUCUCCCUUGUUACGGUAAGUCAAUUCUGUUCCAUCGGGAAGACCUCCUUGUUCGAAAACCAAUCUGUGCAAAGUAUUAUCCCUGAUAAAAGCAAAAGAGCUCACAACUAGAAUAGUACAAAACAUCUGUUUAAGUCAUGAAAUAUCUGAUGAGAUUAGCAUUCUCUUUCCCACAGUAACAAACCUUUUCUUUUGAGGACCAUGAGCAACAGUUUCCUGUUGGACAGGGGCAGCAGAAGAUUCCAGAAAAUUAGGCAGCCUAGACACAUGUUUAGAGUAUAGAACAAAUCAUCAGCCUGGCCAAACUUUCAACUGUCAAUUGAGUUUCAGCAGUUGCAGCUUUGGAAUCUUAGAUAAGAAAAAUACAAAAAGAUAAGGAGCUUCAGAGGAACGUCAUUGGACCUUGUUUUCAGUUCAGACGCAGUUUCCAUCAGAGAGCUAUUUUGUUUGCGCUGCACACCAUCUGUAACAAGAUAUGAAUCUGGAAAAUGAGUGCCUUCAGCAACUGGCACUGAGGGGGCCACCUUCGAGUAUGUUGAUAAUAACGAACUAGAGCUGCAUGCUGUGGCCAUUCUUGGCGAGCUCUUCACAUUGAGAAUGUCAAUAGAAGUUGGAUCCAUGCAGCAUUCAGUGGCUGCUUUCUCGAACUUAGUUGUGAGACCAGCUUUUAGAGCAAGAUUGGCAACGCCCUCAGCAACAGAUCUUUCGAUGCUGCAAUUGAUGGCAACAACAAAAUCAUAGUAUUUGUAACACCCCAUACUUUUUAAAUCUCUUGUUUUGACCCCUACUUAUUAAGUUUGGACCUUUUCGUAAUUUUCAAUUUUCGAGAGACUCGGCGGCAUAUUAUUACCUAAUUAGCCCCUAAUUUAAUUAGAUCUUCCUAUGCCAACCCUCACCCGAUCUCUCUUUUUCCCCCGCACGACUCUCUCUCUCCUCCUUCACCUCGCCCGUAUGCCACUGUCGCUCCUCACGUGCGCGUGCGACGCUAUCCGAUCCCUACCGUCAUCGUCGUUAUCCGUGGCCGCAACUGCCGCAACCCUUUUUGCUUGAUCUCUAUCGGCAUUUUUGGUUCGUCGUCGACGGUAUCUCGUCGUCGUUGUCUCCGUCUUUGAAGAGGUUCUUUUUUUCAUCUUUUUUAUCUCUUUUACCAAAUCUUGAGAUCAUCCGACCUCCUUGUUCAUGAUUAUGUGAUUAUUCUUGAAUACUUAUCUUUUGAUGAUUGGAAUUUAAAACUAUCAAAAUCUGAUUUGCUUUGAUCUAAAUAUAUGUUAUUUGAACUAUCAUUUUAUUUUGUAUCCCUAUCUGAUUUAGUUAUAUAUAAAUUCUCCAUAUUCUACAUAUUUUUUGUAAUGCUCCUUACAUGUUCGAUAAAAUGCCUAAAAGAGGGCGAACCUUAUUUUUUAUUUCUAAUUUCGAUCCCAUCUAAUUGCCAAUUUGUCAAUCAAUAUUUCAACAAUUGAAAACCCUCGUUUCGAGCAUUAGAUCCUUCGUUUAUUAUUUAAAACUUCAUUCAUAUUAUCUUGUUUCUUUGAAAACUUUAAUAUUUGAAACUCAUUAUCCUUUUGAUUGCUAAUUGAGUUUCGUCGAAUGUAUUCUAAAUCUCUUUCGUGCUCCGUCUUGACCUUUUUGCAUACAUUUGUAGCCGAUUUUGUCAAUCUAUGUGAACCUAUCUUAAUUUAGAUUUUUGUAUAAGCUUGCUUUCUAAAAUGUAUAUAUGUCAUCUUUGUAAGUUUAUUUUAAGUAGCUUAUAGAGAAUCGUAUUUCUCUAUUUUAGGUUCCGGUGAUUGAUUUUUCGUGCAAUUUUCGACUGGAUAGCUUAGCUUAGAAGCCGCUUUUGAGGUAAGCGACCGGACACCUGUUAGUUUUUCGUAAGAUAAUUUAGGAAAAUAUUUCGAUUGUAUGAAAAUCUUAUUUUGUAGAUUUUAAAGUUAAGGGUUAAACAUAUUAUUAAAUAUUUCUGUAAAUUGAGCUUUAAUUAUGAUUGACAAGUCCUUUUAGCAAAAUGAAUUUUGAAACUUGAUAAUAUGUUCUGUAAAUUAGUGACUGCACGAUUUUUGAAGUAUGAUGUCUCUUGGUAUUCUGCUAUGCUAAUGUUGGCCAUGUCAACAUGUAUUUUGUUAUAGAAGCAAGCUUCGUCUUUGUAUUGCGCUUUUGGGUGCCUGCGCCUAUCCGCGCCUCUGUUUUGUUUGCGCCUUCGGGUGCCUCUAUUUUGUACAUACACCUUCAGUGCCUCUGCUUUGUUUGCGCCUUCGGGUGCCUUUGUUCUGUUUGCACCUUCGGGUGCCUUUGGAUCUCGCCAACGGAUCAUAUGAUAUAGUUAGGUGCCGGAGACUUAAUAUUUAUUUUGUUUAUUUGCUGAAAUAGAAAUGCAUUUGUAAAAUUAUAAUUUCAAUCCGAUCUGGAUUUUAAGUUUUGACAAAUUCUUGUUUUCUGAAAAUUUUACAAAUUGAAAACCAGUCGCUUGAAUUAAUUUUUGUAUUCAUUUAUUUAUUCGUAUUGUAUGUUUAAUCCGACUAAUGUGGUGUAUAGUUGCUUACCUAGGUACCGAGAUUGAUUUGCCAGGCAGGGCUGAGACCGAGUGAACGUUAGACGUAGCUAGUUUUGAUUUUAAUCCCUUUAUUUUUCUAUCUAGUAUUUUUGGAUGUGAAUCUUUGGACUACGUAGAUGAUCGUUGUUAUUUGCUUUUGUUUCAUUAUUUCUUCGUACCCACUUUUGUUACUUAUGGUACUUUGUGGACCGAAUCUCUCUUGUGAUUCGUAGUAAACUUUAAUUUUAUAGACGUUAGAAUUUCGUUUGGCUUUAGUUGAAAUUAAAUUUCUUAGUCUCAUUUUUUGGAUUAUUUGAAUUUAGUGAAAAAUUGAUAAUCAUCUUUUUGCUAGUUUCCGUCUGAUUCCUUAGCCUUACAUAUUUGCUUGUUUAGCAGGUAUGCGGUGUCUGUUAUGCCUCAGGUUUGGGGCGUGACAGUAUUAUACAAGUUAGUCAAGGUUCCUGGACAUUCCUAAGCUUCAAAUAGCAAAAUUACCUAGCUUCAGGUGCAUAUCGGAAUAAAAUAUAUUACAGAGGCCUAAUUACAUUCUGAUAACUAAACAAGAAGAUAUUCCAUGGAUGCACUUUUUCUAAAAAGAAAUUGAUGUUUAUCUAAAAGAAAAACUGAAAAUCAAAAGGAUAAAAUAAGUCAGAAGUAAUUAUAAUUCUUGAAAUCAACGAAGGUGAUGCACGAGGAAAAUCAUCAUUUGUCUCGCACAUACAUCGGCAUUGUCUCUAUUCUAGCUCUUCCAAACAGAAACUAUAGCAGUUGCUCGCCAAGAUUCAUGACUAAGCCUUCUCCCUACUCUUUAUCAAGAGCAGGUUGACAAGCUGCCCUUGCAUGAUUCCACUCCAAAGUACGUCCACAUAUUUACUAAUGAGAUGCACUAUCUUAUUGACAGAACGUUAGAACAUAUCAACUUAUUGUGUAUCUGAAGACAAAUGAUUACUAGUUAAAUCUCACGCAUGAUAGCAUCUGCAGUCUCUUGGCUCCUGCUGUAGGAUAUUUACUGAGUCUCGUUAAAUAAACCAAAAAACCAACAUCUAUUGGAGAAAGGUGAGAUAUAGAAGAAGGAUGGUUGGGUGUCCUUCUAGUAGAUCAUAAAAAGAAGAAGAUAAGAGGGGAAAAUGAAAGACCAUGAUAUUUUAGAAAGCAAUCUUACAGGGGUCGAUGGAAUGGCUCAAAUAAAAAGACAACGGGACAUUCUUCUUCGUUAUCUUUUCAGAAGAAUAAGCACAAGUACCUUUCUCUUGCAUUGAUUUGAGGCAAUUUUUCUUGAGUGGAGAUCUCCAACCUUUCCAUUUUAGCAUAACACGAUCUUUAUAUAAUCAUUGUAUAGUUAUUUGAAAGGUAAGGAUCAAUAGUUUCACAAGAUAGCAUAAAAUUUCACAGAGCAAGCAUUUUCUGGGUGUGAUUUCAACUUUACUCCUAUAUCUUUUGGUGAUCAAAUUACAAGCAUUUGGAAAAGUCAUGUAAUUAUGUUUAGACCAAUAAAGUUACGAUAUAUAUAUAUAUAUACUAUAAUAUAUAAUAUAUUAUAUAUAUAUAUAUAUUAUGAAAAAAAUAAACAACUAUCCCAUAAUCUUGAGUUGCAACCUAACUGUCUCUACAUGUAAUAGGCUCACUAAGGAGAUUCUGGUAUGAUUUUCUCAGUAUUUUUGUUAGUGUUGGAAAUAUCGUCAACCAUCUGAAAUGAAUCUAGAAGGCAGGAAAGAAUACAUAUCCUUCAGCGCAAAAGAGACCAAAAGGAUUUUUUUUUUCAAAAAAAAAAAAAAACUUGAAGCAAGAUAUAACAAGAGGAUUGUGUAACCUUUCCACUCCUCAAAGCACUUCAAAUUGGGAGGGCACCCGAUCUUUUCUUUGAUCAAGUCGCCAAGCAAGUGGAGAGGGCUAUCCUUCAAUUCUUUCACUAGGUUGUAUAGAGUUAUUCCGCUAUUCAAGAAUAUGUGAUUGUUUUGGUUGGUCGUUGUCACUCCGGCAUGCUUCUCAAAUUCAACCGCGCAGAGAACCUACAAUUGAACAAAAUAGAUAAGUCCUUGCGAUACGAUCAGAAAAUAUAUCAUGUGGACUGAUUUCAGAAAAGAAAAUUAAAUGCGAGGAAAGAAGAAGAAGAAGAAGAAAGGACGAACUCUUGUGUAGUUACACACUCGGCACCCACAAACAUAUCCGAGAUCUCGUAUAAUCCCCUCAAUCUUGACCUAAAACCAUUAGAACCAACAAUAAGAAUAAGAAAACUCAUGUUCUAUAACUCUGUACCAUACAACAAUUUAAAAUGCACCCGUUAAAAUCUUACCUCGCCCUUCUUGUACGUAACCCUAAAUCCUUCUAGAAGUCCAGUGGAAAGCAAGCCUCGGACAUCCGAGAGGAGGCUUCUUGGAUUAUACUUUGCGGAAACCUUCAAUCCUUUCGAACUAAACAAGAAUUCUUCGCUCCGCGGUUCCAUCUCCCUCUCAUUCCGCCCUUCUACGAGCAAAUGUCCAACGCUAAUAUGAAAAACAAGAAGAUGACAAUCAAAAUUACUACAACAACGGGCUCAAAUCGUCGUUGGCGAUUACUAUACGAUCAAAAUCUAAAAACAGAGUAUCGAGAACACAGAUCCAGAUACAAAAUGUUUCAAUCUGAGAGCGAAGUGAGGAACCUCAAGAGCGGACUCGAGAUCAAAUGGAGAGAUUUGAGGGGGCGAGGAAAUGGGAUUCGUGGGAGAAACGGGUUUUAGGGUUUUAGAGUUUUUCGUUGCGAUGGAUGCGUAUGAAAUGAAAUAAAACGAUGGGAGGAUGAUGGCGUAAUUGAGAAAAUAAAUAGGAGCGCCAGGGGGAAGGGAACAGAGCGAGGCUCGCCAUCGCCGUGUUAUUUUAAAAAAAAAAACAAAACAAAAAGGCAGGAAAGGACGCCCUGGGCAAGUCGUUGGGGGGACCCACAGGUUAACUGCCUAAAUAACUAUUAGUGGUAUUUGUAAUAAUAAUGUUAUUAGAUAAAUCAACUGGGCAAGCAAUUUUCAUUGGCUCACUUUAUUUUCUUUAAAAUAUAAAUUUUUUAUUAAAAAAAAAGACAAGAAGCUACCUCGCAAGCAUCUCAAGUAGAAAAAAGUUCUUAUUAACAAUUAAGAUGCAUACCCAACAUCCUUAGCGUAAGUGGCAAAAAACUUGAUGAUUGGUACCCAAUAUCUUAAAUUCAAAAUCUAAUUGCUUCACAUUUUCAUCUAAGUUUAUUUUUAAAAUAAAUAAACGAAACACCUUUCUUUCUAAAAGAAAAAAAAACAAUUAAGAUGCAUAUACCAAAUCGUUCCUAACAAAAAUAAUAAAAAACUUGCAUUAUGCUGUGAUAACUUCAGAAUAUCUUCUAAGUUUAAAAAUAGAAUUGAUAUUAUAUGUUGAUAUAUAGAAAAAAAUAAAUGAAACAUGUAAACAGGCUAUAUUUCUCUUCUAAAUAUAAUAAUUAUAAUAUAUACGAUAUGUCUCAUUAUGUCAAAUCAAAUAGAAAAUAAUCUAAUCAUGAAAAAUAUAAUAAUUGCAUAUUAAAAUAUUUUUUAAAAAAAAUGUUUUUACUUUUAUGUAAUACGAAAUAUUUGAUUAGAUUCUUAUGUAAAAUAAUUAUGGUAAAAAGUCUUUAAAACUUCUUCUCAACUAUGGACAAACUAACCUAGCCCAAUAUGAGAGUCUGGUUUCAAGCAAACAUGGUGCAUUACAUUGAUCUGCAAACAAUCUCAAAUAAAUUUAAAAAUAAAAAGAGCCUCACAAAUAGACAUACUAAUGAUUAAAAUACUUAUAAACUAUAGCCCUAGUAUAAUUACUUAUUCGGUCACGGUUGAUUUUAAUGAUUUAUCAAUCAAGUCCAUCUUCGCACGAAGGUAAGAACAACACCUGAGGACAAUCCGACAUAAAAUUAAAACUUUGUGUAAUAAUUUAUAUUUAAGCCACCAUAGAGUGCAUGAUAGUAUUAUACUAUUAAAAAGAUAUUCAAAUCUAUUUGACCCAAACUUUAAAGGCUUAUAAAUUACUUUUACCCUAGAUUUAUCCAUCUCCUAACAAAAUAGGAAAGUGGUAUGCUUACCUUCUGAGAGCCUGGUAGUGCUAGGCUUUCAACUGAAGCGUGAGUCGCUUGAGCUUUCAACAAUUCAUCGCUGUUCCUAAACUCAUCUUCUUCCUUAGCCCAGUAACAUUGAGAACCUAACGUAUAAAAGCACAGGGGACUUUUUCUAAGUAUUUAACCACUUCAUAUAGGCUCUUUCCAUUUUCCAAACAAAUAUGGUGUUUUGGUUAUGCGACGUGGCUCCCAUCGUUCUCAAACUCAAGAGCUGAUAAAAUCUGAGGGAUACACAUGCAACGAUAAUAAAGUAUAUUCAGGGACUUAAAUAUCGGUACUCAAUAAAAAAAAAAAAAUGUUGAUUGAUUGGCCUUUUUGCUCUUGUGUGAAGAACAAUAACAAAUAAAUUAAUACUUCUUUUCAUGCAAAAUAAUCAGUAUAUCACUUUCUGUUAUUGAAGCUUAAUUUCAUUUAUGAUAUAAGAUUAAGAAAAAGAAAGAAGACAUAAGACGGAGAUCUAAGAAACGUACUUGAUUAUAGUUGCAUGAUGAACAACCGCACUGUAUCCAUUGCCUUUUAUGAAUCCACGGAGUUCGAUCUUCUUCAUUCACACAAAACAACAUUAAUCACAACAAUAACAACAACAACAACAAGCGAAAAUAGAGGGGAGCACAAAAUUCAGUAGAUGUGCACUAACUUCAUAUUUCUAUAAGGUGUAAGUGAUGGGUUCUCCUUCAAGCAAACCAGUUGCAAGCAAAUCUUUAACGCAGGAUAUAUUGCCCGAUAUUUUUGAAUUUAUUCUCCCCUUCUGCAUGAUUAUUCGAAACAAAUCUAUUAUUGAGUAUAGGCGAGGAAAAACAACGUCUGUGUUCUCUCGAAGGGAGACGAGGAAUUAAUAUUGCUCGUAAUGGUAAUUUCGUAGCCUUCACGCUUUCUUUCGCGAUUUCUCUCCCAUGCUUGUACUUGCUCCCCUGUAGUUGUAAGCGCAUAAUAAAUCCAACAAUAGUUAACGGUGGUGUUUGUUCCACGUAAAAUCUGUGAAAAAAAAUUUUCGGUGAAAAAUUUUUUUUUCGGAGGAAAAGAAGUUUUACGCUCUUUAGCGUUUGGUUAUAGUAGAAAAAAAUUAGUUUUCCGUUACGGUUGUUUGUGUUGAUAGAAAAAAAAUUAUGAAGAUAAAUUAAUAUAUUUUUUCUAUUUUAUAAUUAUAUAUAUAUUAAUAAAUAAUAAUUAUCAUACUAUAUUUAUUAUUAUUCUAGUUUAUAUUUAAAAAUAUAUAUUAAAAAUAUUAUACAAAAAAUAUGUAUAUCAAUAUAUAAUAAUAUAUAUUUAAUGCUAUAAAAUAAAUUACUAUAUAUUUAUAAAUAAUAUUUAUAUAUAUAAAAUAUACAUAAUAAUAUUUAAAUUAAAUAAAUAAAUAUAUAUAGAUAAUGGAAGGGCAGAGGCCAGAGAGAGUCCACGGUCUCCUCUCUCACGCGGGGUCCACAAGAUGAAGAUAAUCUCGUGACCGUGUGCGCAGAGCCCUGUAAGCCGCGUUUUUGAGCCCAGUUUUCGUUUUCUGGACGCUGGCGCGAAAACGAAAAUGAUUGAUUUUUUCAGAGAAUCUGUAAAACAAAUCUUCAAAAAAAAUUUUUACGUGCAACCAAACAUCGGAAAAAAAGUUUUCGAUGGAAAAAAAAAUUUCGUGAAGCAAUUUUACAGGAAACCAAACACCCACUAAUACAAUUGAAAUUACACAAUAUACGGUAGAAAAGAAUAAGAAAUUUAUAUGCACAGAAAUCUAGAAACAUGCCUCGAGCAGAAAGAAUUACAGAGAAACAAAAAAUAGACGUCACGGAAAGAAGUCUCUGAGGGUGUAUGAUAAUAAUCUAUGAAUUAUAGAUACAUAUAGGAUAUAUAUGUUAUAUAUUAUAUGCACUUGAUCUGAUAAAUUUGAAGUACAUAUAAUAUCUAUAUAUUACGUAUAUAUAUACACACUAAUUUUUAAUAUAGAUAGAGAUAUAGAACACCAUUUAUAUAUAUAUAUUAUAUAGGUUUGAUUUUUUUGAUUUCCUAAUAAGGCUAUGUCUCUAAAAAUAUUUUCUAUAAAAGGUUGGCCUUACAGAUCACAUAUUGAUUUAUUUCUAAAUACAAAUGCUACUAGUAGUCGAAUUUUCAUAAUCGUACUCGAUAUGUUGGUCGGUGGUGCGCGUUCGAGCACUUUUUUCUGAAACCGAGCCAACACCGCUUCCGUAUUCCGCGCAUUCAUGCUUUGACCUUUCCAGAUCGUAUUCAUUUCUGGCCGUCGCUUGCACUCAAAGAAACCGCGUGCCGGAUCUCUCCACGUCAUCGAUCUGCAGCAGAUCACUUUGCUAACCAAUCGGAACACCUUCCGCUUCCUCUUUAUAAAGACGGUCCCGAUUCUUUUCCUCCCUUCUCCAUCAUCUUCUCCUUACUCCGGCUUCGAUCGUCCUCUCCGUCUCUCUCUUGCGUGCCCUAACAUUUCCUCGUCUUCGAAAUCCUUUUCUCUCGAGCUCGAUCCUUCGUCUCCCAUGGCGCCCAAGGGGGAGAAGAAGCCCGCGGAGAAGAAGCCCGCGGCGUCGGACAAGGCGGCGGAGGAGAAGGAGAAGAAGGGUUCCGGUGCGGCGGAGAAGGCCCCCGCGGCGGAGAAGAAGCCGAAGGCGGGGAAGCGGCUCCCGUCGAAGGAGGGGGGAGGCGCGGGUGCGGGUUCCGGCGACAAGAAGAAGAAGAAGAAGGCGAAGAAGGGGAGCGAGACGUACAAGAUCUACAUCUUCAAGGUGCUCAAGCAGGUCCACCCCGACAUCGGCAUCUCCAGCAAGGCCAUGAGCAUCAUGAACUCCUUCAUCAACGACAUCUUCGAGAAGCUCGCUCAGGAGGCCUCCCGCCUCGCCCGCUACAACAAGAAGCCCACCAUCACCUCCCGCGAGAUCCAGACCUCGGUCCGCCUCGUCCUCCCCGGCGAGCUCGCCAAGCACGCCGUCUCCGAGGGCACCAAGGCCGUCACCAAGUUCACCAGCUCUUAGGGUUAGGGUUUGAUGGGGAUCUUCUCGAUCCGAUGAUGGGGAUGAUAUCUAGGGUUUCCUUUUUUUCUUUUUUCCCUUUUUCUUAGGGCUUUGGGUGAUGAUUGUGUAAUUGGAUGGUUUGAUGGAUGAGUGGGUAUGAUGUAAUACAUGGGUAGUUUUUCCUAUGUGAAGAAUAUAGAAG
rnacentral:lncRNA from 1 species